AUUCAUUUCAGUUUUAAGUAAUCAGGCGCCCACCUGAAAAAUGAGGGAAUCAUUUUAAGUUUUAAGUCAACAUCAGGCGCCCACCUGGAGAACGAGGGAAUUUAUUUAAAGUUUUAAAACAUUAGGCGCCCACCUGGAGAACGAGGGAAUUUAUUUAAAGUUUUAAGUCAUCAGGCACCCACCUGGAAAAUGAGGAAAUUCAUUUCAGUUUUAAGUAAUCAGGCGCCCACCUAGAAAACGAGGGAAUUCAUUUCAAGUUUUAAGCCAACAUCAGGCGCCCACCUGGAGAACGAGGGAAUUUAUUUAAAGUUUUAAAACAUCAGGCGCCCACCUGGAGAACGAGGGAAUUUAUUUAAAGUUUUAAGUCAUCAGGCACCCACCUGGAAAAUGAGGAAAUUCAUUUCAGUUUUAAGUAAUCAGGCUCCCACCUAGAAAAUGAGGGAAUUCAUUUCAAGUUUAAGUCAACAUCAAGCACCCACCUGGAAAACGAGGGAAUUCAUUUCAGUUUUAAGUCAUCAGGCGCCCACCUGGAAAACGAGGGAAUUCAUUUCAAGUUUUAUGUCAACACAGGCGCCCACCUAGAUAACGAGGGAAUUAAUUUCAAGUUUUAAGUCAGCAGGCGCCCACCUAGAAAACGAGGGAAUUUAUUUCAAGUUUUUAAGUCAGCAGGCGCCCACCUGGAGAAUGAGGGAAUUUAUUUUGAGUUUUAAGUCAUCAGGCGCCCACCUGGAGAAUGAGGGAAGUCGUUUAAGGAUUUAAUUCAAGUUAGAAGUAGCAGAAGCUCGCCUCAAGAAUGCAAGCUGACAGUCUGAGAUGAGCAAAGGAAGAAGUCUCAAUCCGGAAUAAAAGAAAAAAAAAAGAAGAAAAAAAAAAAGAAAAAAAGAAGGAGAAAGAACU
rnacentral:lncRNA from 1 species